AUGGACUUCAAAAAGAGAACAUUAAACUGGCAACUCUUGUUGGAAAGGAAAGCAGAGAAACCCAGCCUUCACGAAGAGAAGAACAGAGAAAACAUUACAAAAGGAGGUAUAAAACGAUGCUGCAGGGGAAGUCUGCCCAUCAACAAGAGAGAAGUUCCACUGUUCCCAGUUUUCUGUUAUUAUGGUUGCUGCAGAAAUCUAUGGUCCUCCAAUAAAACUGUUGUCAUAUUUUCUAAGCCUCGGUGGAAAAUGGAUUCGAGGUGUAGGGCUCAUACCAGCCUCAUGACUCACAUUUCUUUCCAGCCUUACAACCUUCAAAUGGGAGUUAGGUUUUGCCACAUCCUUUCUACUCACUUCUCAAGAUGCUGUUUGCCUCAGGAUUAAGGAUUUUUUAGUUAGGCUUAAGUACUUUCUUAUUUUAAUUUUUUCAUGUUUAAUUUAUUUUUUAGAGAGAGACGGAGAAUCUCAAACACACUCCAUGCUCCACAUGGAGGCUGACGCAGGGCUCAAUUCCAUGAUCCUGGGAUCAUGACCCAAGCCAAAAUCAAGAGUUAGACCCUUACCCAACUGAGCCACCCAGGUGCCUCCUAAGUGAUUUCUUAUUCAGAUUACUACCAUUAGGCACAGGAAUUUUUGGAACUUUUUGGCAUAUGAAAAACUCCUUUCCUAAAUUUUCAGGAGGACUUACAGUUUUUGACAAGUGUUAUUGGCCAUUUCCCUCAUGGUCUUGGAGUUGUAUAUGUUAUGGGAAGAGCAAUGGGGGUGUAGGUGACAGUAGAGGAGAUUGCAUUGGAUUCCUGUGCUGAAUGUUUAUUAUUGAAAGGGGAACAUAAUUUGGUUAACAAAUAAAAACAAGCAAAAGAAAAAUUAGACUAAUACC
rnacentral:lncRNA from 1 species